GUAGUGGAUUCGAGAGGCACACCAACACCAGCAGAUGAGCCUCUGUUUAAUACUUGGGAUAUUAUAACAGUAAGUUAUAGCUCCAGAAGUCAGUCACCAGCAGCAGAUGUCACACAGUUAUAAAAUGGGAAACUUGAAGAAUAAGCUCCAGAUGUCGGUCACCAGCAGCAGAUGUCACACAGUUAUAAAAUGGGAAACUUGAAGAAUAAGGUACUAGUGGUUUGGAUACAUGUGUGGGAAAUUCAACUUCCACUUAAAAUGCAGGUACAUUUGAAGUGUGUAAUGUAGUUUGGCAGUCGGUAACACACAGA